rnacentral:misc_RNA from 1 species
AACGCACCUUGCGCUCUCUGGUAUUCCGGGGAGCAUGCCCGUUUCAGAAUCAUUAAAACAUCUCACCAUCUCUGGUGGUGGACGAUGGAUGAUUUGAGCUGCCUGGCAGCCCAAUCGUCUGAAAAUGAUUGUGCGCGCUCCGACUGUUGUCGGUUGGCUCAAAAGGUGCAACAAGAUUAACAUCUAUUCGCCUCUCGAGUUCAAUCAUAUGCAACAUUGGUAGUGAGUACUCCACCAAUUACAAGGUUGGGAAGCUGAGCUGAACAACCUGUUAACUUGGUCUGAAAUCGGGCAAGAAAACCCGCUGAACUUAA